UACGUAGGGUGCAAGCGUUAAUCGGAAUUACUGGGCGUAAAGCGUGCGCAGGCGGUUUCGUAAGUCUGUCGUGAAAUCCCCGGGCUUAACCUGGGAAUGGCGAUGGAGACUGCGAGGCUAGAGUUUGGCAGAGGGGGGUAGAAUUCCACGUGUAGCAGUGAAAUGCGUAGAGAUGUGGAGGAACACCGAUGGCGAAGGCAGCCCCCUGGGUCAAAACUGACGCUCAUGCACGAAAGCGUAGGGAGCAAACAGG
rnacentral:rRNA from 1 species